CACCUCGUAGCUUAGUGGUAGAGUACUGGUGCGUAAAACCAGGGACCCGGGUUCGAUUCCCGGCGAGGGAG
rfam:Agrilus planipennis Contig34676, whole genome shotgun sequence.